rnacentral:tRNA from 1 species
UAAAAAAUAAGCUAAAAAUAAGCUAAUAGGUUCAUACCCUAUUUAUAAAGGUUAUAAUCCUUUUUUUUUAA